GACGAACGCUGGCGGCGUGCCUAACACAUGCAAGUUGAGCGACGAACCAGGGCUUGCCCUGGGGCAAAGCAGCGAACGGGUGAGUAACACGUGGGUAACCUACCCCGAUAACCGGGACAACCCGAGGAAACUCGGGCUAAUACCGGAUGUGCUCACUGGACUUCGGUUCAGUGCGUAAAGGAAGCUUCGGCCUCCGUAUCGGGAGGGGCCCGCGGCCCAUUAGUUUGUUGGUGAGGUAACGGCUCACCAAGACCGCGAUGGGUAGCUGGUCUGAGAGGACGAUCAGCCACACUGGGACUGAGACACGGCCCAGACUCCUACGGGAGGCAGCAGUGGGGAAUCUUGCGCAAUGCGCGAAAGCGUGACGCAGCAACGCCGCGUGGGGGAAGAAGGCCUUCGGGUUGUAAACCCCUUUCAGGAGGGACGAAGGUUCGGCGGUGAAUAGCCGUCCGGACUGACGGUACCUCCACAAGAAGCCCCGGCCAACUACGUG
rnacentral:rRNA from 1 species